rnacentral:rRNA from 1 species
GAUGAACGCUAGCUACAGGCUUAACACAUGCAAGUCGAGGGGUAACGAGAGGAAAGCUUGCUUUCCUUGUCGACGACCGGCGCACGGGUGAGUAACGCGUAUCCAACCUGCCCCCAACUAGGGAAUAACCUUGCGAAAGUAAGACUAAUACCCUAUAAUUUCCUCAGAUGUCAUCUGACGAGGAAUAAAGAUUUAUCGGUUGUGGAUGGGGAUGCGUCUGAUUAGCUUGUUGGCGGGGUAACGGCCCACCAAGGCAACGAUCAGUAGGGGUUCUGCGAGGAAGGUCCCCCACAUUGGAACUGAGACACGGUCCAAACUCCUACGGGAGGCGGCAGUGGUGAAUAUUGGUCAAUGGGCGGAAGCCUGAACCAGCCAAGGAGCGUGCAGGAUGACGGCCCUAUGGGUUGUAAACUGCUUUUAUACAGGAAUAAAGUUAGCCACGUGUGGUUAUUUGUAGGUACUGUAUGAAUAAGGACCGGCUAAUUCCGUGCCAGCCGCCGCAGUAA